rnacentral:rRNA from 1 species
CGUGCAGCCGUAGAAGCAGCAGGGUGACCUAGUUGUGGAGGCUGUGCGAGUGAGAAUGCAGGCAUGAGUAGCGAAUGACACGUGAGAAACGUGUCCUCCGGAUGACCAAGGGUUCCUGGGCUAGGUUAAUCCUCCCAGGGUGAGUCGGGACCUAAGGCGAGGCCGACAGGCGUAGUCGAUGGACAACGGGUUGAUAUUCCCGUACCCGUGUCAGAUCGCCCCUGAUGAAUCAGUUGUACUAACCGUCCUGAAGCUUACGGAUCACCUUCGGGUGACAGUUGAGUGGAUGCACGGGACCUCGGCUGGUAGUAGUCAAGCGAUGGGGUGACGCAGGAAGGUAGUGGGGCCAGUCAGUGGUUGUACUGGUGUAAGCCUGUAGGGCGAGAUCUAGGAAA